ACAAAAACCGAUACUUACGACCCUCUGGCUAUGUACUAUGGCAACAGGAAAGGGGCAGGGAACCCAAAAUUUGUCCCACACAGAAGCGUACGAUGAUGGGCCGUGAACUAUAGAUGGCCAUGUUCAGUUUACAUUGGUGAAAUGAGAAUUUUUUUACUUUUAUAUUACUGGAGAUCACAGAAAAAAUGGUAUGAAGUACUUUUACUGUGUUGUCUCCCUGAAAUUUAUCAAUGAGAUGCUCAAACCCAUUCACAGAGAUCUUUGUCAGGCUGAUGAUUGUUCCCACCAUUAACAUUUGUUUCGAAUUUCAGUUGAGUAGUUCCCGUUACUUACAUUGUUUCAGUAUUAACUCCUAAUUGUCUAUCUAGAAUUUCAAUUCAUUCGAAUUGUCUGUCUUAAGUUAAUUACAGUACAGGGCAGGCAACAAAUGAGUAGUGUGAAUGGUAUUUAUAAAAAAACCAUGUAGGUAGCCUAUACAGCAUUCCAGAUUAUUUUUCACACGUCUUAGAAUUAUCAAACAGUAUGUAGUGCUUCCAGUUGCCCUCUAAUAUCAUUAUAGCUCCGCCUGCCCAUCAGCAUAACUCCAAGGACCAAGAUUCAAACAUCGGACUGGGGUGGUGCCAAUUAGUAAAUAAAAGUGUUUGGAAUUUAGUAAGUUUCGAAUAUUUGCUAGAUAGACGCCCAAUGCAACAAUGAGGUCUGUAACAAAAGGCUUUUUUUUUAUUGAGUGUAAAAUUCUUGAUUGAUAAUAUCGUUGAAAUGUCACAUUUUCAAUUUAACAGUAAUUAUGAAUUAAAAUUGAAUCACAGACGUCCCCCAAUUGUUUUUAAUCCGGAUGCGAACGUCGAAGAAACGCUGUACUUAAAAUUCCAUGAUGCAACUGAAAUCAUUUUGGGGCCGCUCGCGAUGGAAGAAUGGAUUCGAUUCUCAGUCUGUUUUUGGCAUUCUUUCAGAGAAACAGGAGCUGAUCCGUUAAGCCAAGCAACUGUUAGGCGAAAUCGGGAUGACGGCACAGAAACGAUAGAAACUAAGCUUCCCCAUCCUUCAAAAGCGGCAUUAAUGGGGCCAUCUUCAACUACUUCUUUCUUCGUAAGGAACGAAAUUGACGUUAGUGCCCAAAAACAGAGUUGUUGCGAGCUAUUGGC